CGCGUAGGCGGCUUGGCAAGUCAGAUGUGAAAUCCCCGAGCUUAACUUGGGAAUUGCAUCUGAAACUGUCGAGCUUGAGUCCUGGAGGGGGUAGUGGAAUUCCCAGUGUAGCGGUGAAAUGCGUAGAUAUUGGGAGGAACACCUGCGGCGAAGGCGGCUACCUGGACAGUGACUGACGCUGAGGCGCGAAAGCUAGGGGAGCGAACG
rnacentral:rRNA from 1 species